rnacentral:rRNA from 1 species
GGGUGCGAUCAAACCAGCACUAAUGCACCAGAUCCCAUCACAACUCCGAAGUGAAACGUGCUUGGGCUAGAGCAGUACUAAGAUGGGUGACCUCUUGGGAAGUCCUCGUGUUGCACCCC